AUGGACUGCAGCCCACCAGGCUCCUCCAUCCAUGGGAUUUUCCAGGCAGGAGUACUGGAGUGGGGUGCCGUUGCCUUCUCCAGUGCUUCUUGGGAUCACCUCCCAAAUGCAACCACUUCUACUCAUUUCCUCCCCUCAGGUUCUGCUUCUGUGGAAACCCAACCUACAAACCACCGAAAAGAGUGCAAUACCCUCUCAAAUGAAGAGUGUGAACCCUGGCACAGAACAGUUAACAGAAUCCCAGAAGAGAACCCAGGACCUGAGCCUCCAGCCCUUACUGUGAGUCUGAAGUCUGUGUCCGUCAGGUCACAGGAGCUGCAAGCAGUGGCUGCACAGAGCUGGAACAGCAAGCUGCUGAGAGGAGAUACCGCACGUCCAAGGUCAGAAGCACUGGCUGCACUUCGCUGGAGCAGCUGUGAAUAGAUACCCCAGGUCCAAGGUCAAGCACGGCAGCUCCGCUUUGCUGGAUGGUGGUGUGGAGACACCCCAUGAUCACAGUCUGAUGGUACCCCAGCAAGAUGGUAGACGCUGGAGCGGCUGUGAGGAGAUACCCCACGUCCAAGGGCAAAGGAGACGCCCCAGCAAGACGAUAGGAGGGGCGAAUUCACAUUUAGAAUCAAACCUGAUUUCUACCAGAGACGCUCAGAGGGCUCAAACAAACCUUGUGAGACCCAGGGACCCAGGGACCCCACAGAGACUAGGACAGAAUUGUGUUUGAGCAUCUCCUGUGGAUAUACGGGUCGGCAGUGGUCUGCUGCAGGGACAGGGGCUCUGGGUGUGGGGAUGGCAUAAGCCCUCUUGGAGGAGGUCACCAUUAACCCUACCACAGAGCUGCCAGAACUUACACAGGACUGGGAAAUAGACUCUUGGAGGGCACAACAGAGCCUUGUGCACUAGGACCAGGGAGGAAGGAACAGUGACCCCACAGGAGACUUGCCUGUGGUGUCCAGGAGUCUCUGGUGAAGGCAUGGGUCGGUGGUGGCCUGCUGCAGGGCUGGGGGCAUGGACUGUAGCAGUACAUGCAUGGGACCUUUUGAGAGAGGUCACCAUUAUCUUCAUUACAUCCACCAUAGUUUGGCCCCAGAUAAAUAGCAGGGAGGGAACACAGCUCCACCCAUCAACAGAAAAUUGGAUUAAAGAUUUACUGAGCAUGGUCGUGCCCAGCAGAACAAGACCCAAUAUCCCCCUUGGUCAGUCUGUCCCAUCAGGAAGCUUUCAUAAGCCUUUUAUGCUUCUCCAUCAGAGAGCAGACAGACUGAAAGCCACAAUCACAGGAAACUAACCAAUCUAAUCACAUGGACCACAGCCUUGUCUAACUCAGUGAAACUAUGAGCCAUGAGGGCCACUCAAGAUACGGGUCAUGGUGGAGAGUUCUGACAAAAUGUUGCCCACUAGAAAAGGGAAUGGCAAACCACUUUAGCAUUCCUGGCUUGAGAACCCCAUGAACAGUAUGAAAAUGCAAAAAGAUAGGACACUGAAAGAUGAACUCCCCAGGUCUGUAGAUGCCUAAUAUACUACCAGAGAUCAGUGGAGAAAUAACUCCAGAAAGAAUGAAGAGACGGAGCCAAAGCAAAAACAACACCCAGUUGUGGAUGUGACUGGUGAUGGAAGCAAGGUCUGAUGCUGUAAAGAGCAAUAUUGCAUAGGAACCUGGAAUGUUAGGUCCAUGAAUCAAGGCAAAUUGGAAGUGGUCAAACAGGAGAUGGCAAGAGUGAACAUUUUAGGAAUCAGAGAACUAAAAUGGAGUGGUUGGAUGAAUUUAACUCAGAUGACCAUGAUAUCUACUACUGUGGGCAAGAAUCCCUUAGAAGAAAUGUCAUAGUCAACAAAAGAGUCCAAAAUGCAGUACUUGGGCACAGUCUCAAAAACGAAGGCAUGAUCUCUGUUCAUUUCAUGGCAAACUGUUCAAUAUCACGGUAAUGCAAAUCUAUGCCCCAACCAGUAAUGCUGAAGAAGCUGAAGUUGAAAGGUUCUAUGAAGGCCUACAAGACCUUCUAGAAAUAACACCCCAAAAAACUGUCCAUUUCAUUAUAGGGGACUGGAAUGCAAACAUAGGAAGGCAAGAAACACCCAGAGGAACAGGCAAAUUUGGACUUGGAGUAUGGAAUGAAGCAGGCAAAGGCUAAUAGAGUUUUGCCAAGAGAACAUACUGGUCAUAGCAAACACCCUCUUCCAACAACACAAGAAAAGACUCUACACAUGGACAUCACCAGAUGGGUGACACCGAAAUCAGAUUGAUUAUAUUCUUUGCAGCCAAAGAUGGAGAUGCUCUAUACAGUCAGCAAAAACAAGAUGAGGAGCUGACUGUGGCUCAGAUCACGAACUCCACAUUGCCAAAUUUAGUCUUAAGUUGAAGAAAGUAGGGAAAACCACUAGACUAUUCAGGUAUGACCUAAAUAAAAUCCCUAACGAUUAUACAGUGGAACUGAGAAAUAGAUUUAAGGUACUAGAUCUGAUAGACAGAGUGCCUGAAGAACUAUGGACAGAGGUUCAUAACAUUGUACAGGAGGCAGGGAGCAAGACCAUCCCCAAGAAAAAGAAAUGCAAAAAUGAAAAAUGGCUGUCUGAGGAGGCCUUACAAAUAGCUGUGAAUAGAAGAGAAGUGAAAGGCAAAGGAGAAGAGGAAAGAUAUACCCAUUUGAAUGCAGAGUUUUUAGAACUUCUUUAGGAAUAGCAAGGAGAGAUAAGACAGUCUUCCUCAAUGGUCAGUGCAAAGAAAUAGAAGAAAACAAUAGAAUGGGAAAGACUAGAGAUGUCUUCAAGAAAAUUACAGAUACCAAGGGACCAUUUCAUGCAAAAAUGGGCACAGUAAAGGACAGAAAUGGUAUGGACCUAACAGAGGCAGAAGAUAUUAAGACAAGGUGGCAAAAAUACACAGAAGGACUGUACAAAAAAGAUCUUCAUGACGCAGAUAAUCACCAUGGUGUGAUCACUCACCUAGAGCCAGACAUCCUGGAAUGUGAAGUCAAGUGGGCCUUAGAAAGCAUCACUACGAACAAAGCUAGUGGAGAUAAUGGAAUUCCAGUUGAGCUAUUUCAAAUCCUAAAAGAUGAUGCUGUGAAAGUGCUUCACCCAAUAUACUAGCAAAUUUGGAAAACUCAGCAGUGGCCACAGGACUGGAAAAGGUCAGUUUUCAUUCCAAUCCCUAAGAAAGGCAAUGCCAAAAAUGCUCAAACUACCUCACAAUUGC
ensembl:lncRNA